rnacentral:rRNA from 1 species
CUUCCAUCUGGAAGAAAUCUGGAGACAGGUGCUGCAUGGCUGUCGUCAGCUCGUGUCGUGAGAUGUUGGGUUAAGUCCCGCAACGAGCGCAACCCUUGCCUUUAGUUGCCAGCAGUUCGGCUGGGCACUCUAAAGGGACUGCCGGUGUUAAACCGGAGGAAGGUGGGGAUGACGUCAAGUCCUCAUGGCCUUUAUGACCAGGGCUACACACGUACUACAAUGGCCGAUACAAAGGGCAGCGACACUGCGAGGUGAAGCCAAUCCCGUAAAAUCGGUCUCAGUCCGGAUUGGAGUCUGCAACUCGACUCCAUGAAGUUGGAAUCGCUAGUAAUCGUGGAUCAGCAUGCCACGGUGAAUACGUUCCCGGGCCUU